rnacentral:lncRNA from 1 species
CCUCGAUCCUCAAAGAAAUAUGCAGUCACGUGAUAGUCAGAGGUGACGGGUACGUGGAUUCCGGCUAUUUCAAGUGGUUGAGAUGUCGCCGAAAAUGGGAAGACAUUGGGGCAGAAGAGGGAUGGUUUGCUGGGUUCAUUUGGAUUCUAUAAUUUGGGGAACAAAAGACUGACUCUCUUCGGUACUGACAAUUCAAAAUUUGAAUGGUUCUUUUUUUUCGUGUUUU